UACGUAGGCAGCAAGCGUUGUUCGGACUUACUGGGCGUAAAGGGUGCGUAGGCGGUGCUCUAAGUUUGGUGUGAAAUCUCCCGGCUUAACUGGGAGGGUGCGCCGAAAACUGGAGCGCUUGAGUGCGGGAGAGGAAAGCGGAAUUCCUGGUGUAGCGGUGAAAUGCGUAGAGAUCAGGAGGAACACCUGCGGUGUAGACGGCUUUCUGGACCGUAACUGACGCUGAGGCACGAAAUCGUGGGUAGCAAAUAGG
rnacentral:rRNA from 1 species